rnacentral:tRNA from 1 species
GGUCCUGUAGCUCAAUGGAUAGAGCGCUAAUAUGACGGACUUGGAGGUUGUGGGUUCGAUUCCCACCAGGACCA